GGGCCCGCACAAGCGGUGGAGCAUGUGGUUUAAUUCGAUGCAACGCGAAGAACCUUACCUGGUCUUGACAUAGUGAGAAUCUUUCAGAGAUGAGAGAGUGCCUUCGGGAAUUCACAUACAGGUGCUGCAUGGCUGUCGUCAGCUCGUGUCGUGAGAUGUUGGGUUAAGUCCCGCAACGAGCGCAACCCUUUUCCUUAUUUGCCAGCGGGUUAAGCCGGGAACUUUAAGGAUACUGCCAGUGACAAACUGGAGGAAGGCGGGGACGACGUCAAGUCAUCAUGGCCCUUACGACCAGGGCUACACACGUGCUACAAUGGUAGGUACAGAGGGUUGCUACACAGCGAUGUGAUGCUAA
rnacentral:rRNA from 1 species